AUAAAACCCCCACACCUGACCACAAAAACCCAAGCCGCCUGCCCUCGCUGGAGAAGACGAAUCAGACGCUGGAGGAGCCGGCCACCGCCACCCGCCGCCGCACCAGGGAGUUUUCCGACCGCCGAUCGAGGUAAAUUUCAUACCCCCAGCUCGUUUUUCAAUGCUGAGUUCCCCUGUGGCCAAAUCGGAGCUAAAAUCCCGGCCAAACGGCCGAAAAAUACGGCCGAAACCCAGCGGCACCGCCGCGCCCCUCCUCAAUUUUUGCCUCCGAUGAGGCCCUUCCUAGCCUCCGUUUGAUACAAUUUUUAUAUCACCGUGAUCACAAUUCU
rnacentral:lncRNA from 1 species